UAGCUAGUUGGUGAGGUAAAGGCUUACCAAGGCGACGAUCUGUAGCGGGUCUGAGAGGAUGAUCCGCCACACUGGAACUGAGACACGGUCCAGACUCCUACGGGAGGCAGCAGUGGGGAAUUUUGGACAAUGGGGGCAACCCUGAUCCAGCCAUGCCGCGUGAGUGAAGAAGGCCUUCGGGUUGUAAAGCUCUUUCGGCCGGGAAGAAAUCGCAUGGGCCAAUACCCUGUGUGGAUGACGGUACCGGAAUAAGAAGCACCGGCUAACUACGUGCCAGCAGCCGCGGUAAUACGUAGGGUGCGAGCGUUAAUCGGAAUUACUGGGCGUAAAGCGUGCGCAGGCGGUUUUGUAAGACAGGCGUGAAAUCCCCGGGCUUAACCUGGGAACUGCGUUUGUGACUGCAAGGCUAGAGUACGGCAGAGGGGGGUGGAAUUCCACGUGUAGCAGUGAAAUGCGUAGAGAUGUGGAGGAACACCAAUGGCGAAGGCAGCCCCCUGGGUCGAUACUGACGCUCAUGCACGAAAGCGUGGGUAGCAAACAGGAUUAGAUACCCUGGUAGUCCACGCCCUAAACUAUGUCAACUAGGUGUUGGGUGGGUAAAACCAUUUAGUACCGUAGCUAACGCGUGAAGUUGACCGCCUGGGGAGUACGGCCGCAAGGUUAAAACUCAAAGGAAUUGACGGGGACCCGCACAAGCGGUGGAUGAUGUGGAUUAAUUCGAUGCAACGCGAAAAACCUUACCUACCCUUGACAUGCCAGGAACUUGCCAGAGAUGGCUUGGUGCCCGAAAGGGAGCCUGGACACAGGUGCUGCAUGGCUGUCGUCAGCUCGUGUCGUGAGAUGUUGGGUUAAGUCCCGCAACGAGCGCAACCCUUGUCGUUAAUUGCCAUCAUUUAGUUGGGCACUUUAACGAGACUGCCGGUGACAAACCGGAGGAAGGUGGGGAUGACGUCAAGUCCCCAUGGCCCUUAUGGGUAGGGCUUCACACGUCAUACAAUGGUCGGUACAAAGGGUUGCCAAGCCGCGAGGCGGAGCCAAUCCCAGAAAGCCGAUCGUAGUCCGGAUUGCAGGCUGCAACUCGCCUGCAUGAAGUCGGAAUCGCUAGUAAUCGUGGAUCAGCAUGUCACGGUGAAUACGUUCCCGGGUCUUGUACACACCGCCCGUCACACCAUGGGAGCGGGUUCCGCCAGAAGUAGGUAGCCUAACCGCAAGGGGGGCGCUUACCACGGCGGGGUUCGUGACUGGGGUGAAGUCGAAACAAGGUAGCCGUAGGGGAACCUGCGGCUG
rnacentral:rRNA from 1 species